rnacentral:rRNA from 1 species
UACGGGGGGAGCAAGCGUUGUUCGGAUUUACUGGGCGUAAAGGGCUCGUAGGUUGCCAACUAAGUCAGACGUGAAAUCCCUCAGCUUAACUGGGGAACUGCGUCUGAUACUGGAUGGCUUGAGUUUGGGAGAGGGAUGCGGAAUUCCAGGUGUAGCGGUGAAAUGCGUAGAUAUCUGGAGGAACACCGGUGGCGAAGGCGGCAUCCUGGACCAACACUGACACUGAGGAGCGAAAGCCAGGGGAGCAAACGGG